GUUUCCAUUCACUUCUGGCUUCAUUCCUUGACUUAACGAUUAGAUAAUGUCUUACAGUUCAACUAUAUUUUUCAACGUCCCAAACUCCAAUCUCAAAUCUUGGAACUGCUUAUAAACAAUUUCUCAACAUUUCAAACAUGAUAUGUGAAACCAAAGUGCUCCUUCUUCACCAAUAAUUCUCUUUUACAACUUCUCCAUCUUUUUCUGGUUUCCGAGCCACAAAACUUUUGUGUCAUCUUUCAUUGAGUCAUUUUCUUCAAUCUAUGGUUUAGUCUAAUGGACACUGCUUUUGAAAUUUAUUUUGGCUCCAUUCUUUCGUAUCUCAUGAUCAUCCAGAUGUUAAUACUACAUGCUAAGUCAUUAUAAGAACUUUUUUGCUGAUCUUCCUGAGUGCAGUUUGUGGUGUGCGUGUGUCUAGCUAAUCCUGUCUGCAUAAUAAAAAUAGCCUAACAUUGAUUGAGCACAUACUAUAUGUCAGGAGCUCUUCCAUGUAUUUCACACGUAUUUACUCACUUAAUUCUCACCAGAACCAAAGGAGGAUGUUCUAUUGCUUUUUAUAUUUUUCAGAUGAGGAAACAGAGGCACUGAGAAGUUAUGUGACUUGUCUAAACUCAAAUCUACCGAAUGAGAAAGCUGGGGCUCAAACCAGACAGUCAACCAUCAGUGUCUGAACUCUUAAACUUUUGCUACAUUGCUUCUCCUGUCGCUGUUUGGUUAAUGGAUCAUGCCAUACUACAACUACAACACCCUCAGUCAGCCUGUGACAUAAAGUAUAAUCUCAUCAGUCUUAUUUUCUCGGCUCUCCGUAAUCCAGCCCUACUCGGUAUACCCAGAACUAUUUAUCACUUCAGUCUAAUAUAUAUAGUGAGGUAUAUUGCUUGUUUCAUUUUCUCAGUUCCCAAAAUUCAAUUUCUUUCUCCAGCUGCAAUGUACUUGCUUUCUCCUGGAGUGAUGCUUUCUUGUUCUUGUAUCUUGGCAAACAAUCUUUACACUGGCUUGGCCCCAGAAAUCAUGUAUCCAAGGGCUGCCGCUGCCACUCUCAUCCCCAGAGUGGGGGCCUCUCUGAGGGGGAGGGAACUAACGUGGACAAAGACGUGGACGUGCACUCUACUGUGUUCUCAUCUCUGGAAUGCAAGGGCUUUAUAUCUCUCUAGACAAAUCACAUAAAAGAACAAAGUAUCAGAUUGGAGACCUUGAAGGAAAAGAAAAAAAAUGACUGCUUAAAGUGUAAGAGUAUUUUUAAUACUUUCUAAUGUCAUUAGAACAUUCUUCUCUAGCCUCAAGUGGGAGUUAGAAGUAGCGAAUAUUGAAAGAAAAAUAAUCAAGCAGGUAUUCUGUCGUGGCCAAAUGGUGUCUCUGUUGUCAGGGCCUCACUCUGAUAGAACAACGAUUUGAAGCUGUUAGUUAUCACCACUGAAUGCGCUCAGGACUGGUCUCCUGGGCUUUAUUAGGUCCAGCAAAUGCUUUAUUUAAAUAAGUGCUCCCAAAUACGAGUCAAACAUGGUGUCUGACUUUGCCAUAGAAAAUUUGGAAAUUAUAUAAUUUUAUAAAGAAUAAUUACUUAAGAUUUUUGAGGUGGGGAAAAAAGUAGAAUUAUUUUUAAACUUAAAAGUGAAAAAAUUGGCCUAACCUAAAGAACAUAUGGAAGAACACAUUUCUGAAUUGCAUACAGCUUAAAAAAAUCCUUCUCCACUCUCAGUUUUCUGCCCCCACCACUGUUAUGCCAAUUUCAGUUCCAAAUAUGUAAAUCUCACCACUAAGGUAUCUGAGAAUGUGGUUGUUCAACCAAAAUCACACCAAAGAUUUCUCAUCCUUGCCAACUUUUGAUUUCCUCCGGUUCUAGAUCUCUCUGUUCAACUCCAUUCACAGCUACUGGCUGUGGGAAGGGAUAGCAGUGAGAGGGGAGACGGAGCUAGGGGUGUAUGAGUGUCUCUGUCUGUAUGUGCAUGUUUGUGUGGUAGUGGUAUUGAUAAAAGGGUGUGUUCAGUUUGGAAGAAGACACAAGAAAGGUUAAGCAAAGUUUUCGAGAGCAUCAAAAUAGUAGUUGAUAGGUUACUCAGAGGGCACAAGACCCGAUUUAAGGACAUUGUCUGAGGAAGGGGAAAAGCAUGGUCUUUGGAGACAGUGAACAGACCCAGAUUCCAUUCUCCAUUCUGCUGUGUACCCCGUGGGUGGCCUUGGGGAAACCGGCUAACUUUUCUAGUUAUCUAAUCUGUACACAAUGGGAUAAUUGUUUCUACCACAAGGAUGCCUUUUAAAACUUCUUAUUUUGCAACAAGAAGUUGCAGAAAUAGAGCAGAAAUAGUGAAAAUGGUUCACAAGUGACCUCAUUUAACCUUAAUUAAUGCAAAAUGGAAAACAGUUGUGCAGAAAUAGUCCAAAAAUAGUGCAUUUUUGAGAUGAAUAGUUUUAUAUAAUUUUAUCAAAUGCACAGAUUUGUGUAACUGCCACCUGAUUGGAAUACAGAGUCCCGUUACCACUUACAAAGUCCUGAGGGUGGGUUGGAAUGUUGAAUAACUCUAAGGGCCAGUAAACUUAUAGAACUCGAAGCAGGAUGCUUUUAUGAUUUUUCCACCUCUAGGAAUCUUAGUUAUGAUAAUUAGGUGGGGUCUUUCUUGUUAAAAGACAUUUUAUCAUGAUAUCUAGUAGGUUUUUCAAAUCAGGUCUUUUUGGAAAUGACAAAAAGAUUUGUUAAAGAUUUCUGAGCUUAUUCUCUAACAAGAAUAAAAUUCAAUUUAUUGUACUAGGACA
rnacentral:lncRNA from 1 species